AAUCGUCUUUCAUCCUUCCAAUUGCAUCAACUUUAGUCGGAUCUGAUUUUCUUCUAUAAGAUCCACAUAAAUGUCCAACAAUCACAACCUCUCGUACUCCAAAUACGGACUUCAUAUCCGAUAAUGUAAGAUGAACUUCUCCAAGCCGAGUUAAAAUCUUUUCACAAUCUUGUAUAUGAUCAACAAUAUAUUUGCGACACCCCCUCUUAUGUAAAGUUUCAUCCUUGUCUCCUUCUUUGCACCCUUUUAUAGGAACAUCAUCCAGAAAAGGCAUAGUCUUUUCUGAAAUAAAAUCUCUCAAUACCUUAUUCAUCCCAUUCAUCAUAUGCGCAACUGAG
rnacentral:lncRNA from 1 species